GAUGAACGCUGGCGGCGUGCCUAACACAUGCAAGUCGAGCGAAAAGACGAGGAGCUUGCUCCCUUGACGUUAGCGGCGGACGGGUGAGUAAAACGUGGAUAACCUACCUAUAAGACGGGGAUAACUUCGGGAAAACGGUGCCAAUACCGGCUAAUAUAUUCAACCGCAUGGAUCAAGAGUUAAAGGCGGCUUUGCUGUCACUUAUAGAUGGUUCCGCGCCGCAUUAGCUUGUUGGUAAGGUAACGGCUCACCAAGGCGACGAUUCGUAGCCGACCUGAGAGGAUGAUCGGCCACACUGGAACUGAGACACGGUCCAGACUCCUACGGGAGGCAGCAGUGGGGAAUAUUCCGCAAUGGGCGAAAGCUUGACGGAGCAAUGCCGCGUGGGUGAUGAAGGUCUUCGGAUCGUAAAGCUCUGUUAUUGGGGAAGAACAAAUGUAUAUUUAUCUAUGCACGUCUUGACGGUACCUAAACAGAAAGCCCCGGCUAACUACGUG
rnacentral:rRNA from 1 species